rnacentral:rRNA from 1 species
GUACUUAUUUACGUAGAGAUAGAAGUUACUUCGGUACAUCGGUGACAGGUGGUGCAUGGUUGUCGUCAGCUCGUGUCGUGAGAUGUUGGGUUAAGUCCCGCAACGAGCGCAACCCCUAUUGUUAGUUGCCAUCAUUCAGUUGGGCACUCUAGCGAGACUGCCGGUAAUAAACCGGAGGAAGUGGGGAUGACGUCAAAUCAUCAUGCCCCUUAUGACCUGGGCUACACACGUGCUACAAUGGUUGGUACAACGAGUUGCGAGUCGGUGACGGCGAGCUAAUCUCUUAAAGCCAAUCUCAGUUCGGAUUGUAGGCUGCAACUCGCCUACAUGAAGUCGGAAUCGCUAGUAAUCGCGGAUCAGCACGCCGCGGUGAAUACGUUCCCGGGCCUU